CAAGUACUCCCUCCAUCCGGAAUUACUUGUCAUCAAAAUGGAUGUGUCUAGAACUAAAAUACAUCUAGAUACAUCCAUUUCAAUGACAAGUAUUUUCAGACGGAGGGUGUACAAG
rfam:Triticum aestivum genome assembly, contig: Triticum_aestivum_CS42_TGACv1_scaffold_075460_1DL